AACUAACGCUGGCGGCGUGCUAACACAUGCAAGUCGUACGAGAAAGUCGGCUUCGGCCGAUGAGUAAAGUGGCGCACGGGUGAGUAAUGCGUGGAUAAUCUGCCCUUGAGUUCGGAAUAACGUACCGAAAGGUGCGCUAAUACCGGAUAAUACUGCACAACUACUGUUGUGUAGUCAAAGAUGGCCUCUGUUACAAGCUUUUGCUGAAGGAUGAGUCCGCGUACCAUUAGCUAGUUGGUGGGGUAAUGGCCUACCAAGGCGACGAUGGUUAGCUGGUCUGAGAGGAUGAUCAGCCACACUGGAACUGAGACACGGUCCAGACUCCUACGGGAGGCAGCAGUGAGGAAUAUUGCGCAAUGGGGGCAACCCUGACGCAGCAACGCCGCGUGAGUGAGGAAGGUUUUCGGACCGUAAAGCUCUGUCGAGCGGGAAGAAAUGCAUGGUGGCUAAUAUCCAUCAUGCUUGACGGUACCGCUAGAGGAAGCACCGGCUAACUCCGUGCCAGCAGCCGCGGUAAUACGGGGGGUGCAAGCGUUGUUCGGAAUUAUUGGGCGUAAAGAGCGUGUAGGCGGCUGAAUAAGUCAGAUGUGAAAUCCCUGGGCUUAACCCAGGACGUGCAUUUGAAACUAUUCAGCUUGAGUAAGGGAGAGGAAAGUGGAAUUCCUGGUGUAGAGGUGAAAUUCGUAGAUAUCAGGAGGAACACCGGUGGCGAAGGCGACUUUCUGGCCCUAUACUGACGCUGAGACGCGAGAGCGUGGGUAGCAAACAGGAUUAGAUACCCUGGUAGUCCACGCUGUAAACGAUGUUCACUAGGUGUUGGGGGUAUUGACCCUCUCAGUGCCGCAGCUAACGCAUUAAGUGAACCGCCUGGGGAGUACGGUCGCAAGAUUAAAACUCAA
rnacentral:rRNA from 1 species